rnacentral:rRNA from 1 species
AACGAACGCUGGCGGCAGGCCUAACACAUGCAAGUCGAGCGGAUCCUUCGGGAUUAGCGGCGGACGGGUGAGUAACGCGUGGGAAUAUGCCCUUCUCUACGGAAUAGCCUCGGGAAACUGGGAGUAAUACCGUAUACGCCCUACGGGGGAAAGAUUGAUCGGAGAAGGAUUAGCCCGCGUUGGAUUAGGUAGUUGGUGGGGUAAUGGCCUACCAAGCCUACGAUCCAUAGCUGGUUUGAGAGGAUGAUCAGCCACACUGGGACUGAGACACGGCCCAGACUCCUACGGGAGGCAGCAGUGGGGAAUCUUAGACAAUGGGGGAAACCCUGAUCUAGUCAUGCCGCGUGAGUGAUGAAGGCCUUAGGGUUGUAAAGCUCUUUCAGCUGGGAAGAUAAUGACGGUACCAGCAGAAGAAGCCCCGGCUAACUCCGUGCCAGCAGCCGCAGUAAAAC